CCAUUGCUCAAUUGGUAGAGCACAAAGCUCUUAACCUUGUGGACAUGGAUUCAAGCCCCAUGAUGGG
rfam:Triticum aestivum genome assembly, contig: Triticum_aestivum_CS42_TGACv1_scaffold_331054_4BS